CUCAUUUUGUCAUCCUCCUCUUUGUUUACCUUCACUGAUUUCAUACGACCUUCAUCUUUCUCCUUAUCAACUUCAACUCCAUUAUCACCCUCAGGUUCAUUAACUCUUCGAAGCUUUUCAGCUUCUGCCUGCUUUUUCUCCCAUUCUUCCCUAGCUUUUCGGUUCAUUGCCAUGAUUUGCUGUCGAACAUCUGAGGUGAUUACAGUCCGGUGUCUAGACUUCUCAGCAUCAACCCGCUGCUUGGAUAGCCUGAUCAGUUUACUUAUUAGUCCACGCAUUCUUUCCUCCACACACAAAGACAAGCACCGUUCCACAUCAUUGUUUAUAUUCUUCAAACCACAUUUAGCCAUGAUCUCUGCCAAUUUUUUCUGCAGUGGAAUUUUCUGCAAAAUCAACCUUUCUUCUUCUUCUUGUACAACCUUCCGAGAUGCUUCUGAAACUCGACUUUCCUCCUUGGACCCAGAGAAUAGCUGUUCUUCCUCUUCCCUUAGAUUAACUCCACUAACAGCAGUGACAUCAUUGAGUUGUUCGAUGCUUUGAUCCGAAAAGGCCCCAGAUACUUUUUGCUUCUUACUUGCCAUAGGUGGAGAAG
rnacentral:misc_RNA from 1 species